rnacentral:rRNA from 1 species
UACGUAGGGUGCAGGCGUUAAUCGGAAUUACUGGGCGUAAAGCGUGCGCAGGCGGUCUUUUAAGUCAGAUGUGAAAUCCCCGGGCUUAACCUGGGAACUGCGAUGGAAACUAGCGAGCUGGAGUGUGGCAGAGGGGGGUGGAAUUCCGCGUGUAGCAGUGAAAUGCGUAGAGAUGCGGAGGAACACCGAUGGCGAAGGCGGCUUACUGGUCCAUUACUGACGCUGAGGUGCGAAAGCGUGGGGAGCAAACAGG